rnacentral:rRNA from 1 species
AACGAACGCUGGCGGCAGGCCUAACACAUGCAAGUCGAGCGCCCAGCAAUGGGAGCGGCGGACGGGUGAGUAACGCGUGGGAAUUUUCCUCAAGGUACGGAACAACUCAGGGAAACUUGGGCUAAUACCGUAUGAUGUCUAGCGACCAAAGAUUUAUCGCCUUGGGAUGAGCCCGCGUCAGAUUAGGUAGUUGGUGGGGUAACGGUCUACCAAGCCUGCGAUCUGUAGCUGGUCUGAGAGGACGAUCAGCCACAUUGGGACUGAGACACGGCCCAAACUCCUACGGGAGGCAGCAGUGGGGAAUCUUGCGCAAUGGGCGAAAGCCUGACGCAGCCAUGCCGCGUGAGUGAUGAAGGUCUUAGGAUUGUAAAGCUCUUUCGCCCGUGACGAUGAUGACGGUAACGGGAGAAGAAGCCCCGGCUAACUUCGUGCCAGCCGCCGCGGUAA